CAAGGAUUCCCUAAUAACGGCGAGUGAAGCGGGAAAAGCUCAAAUUUGUAAUCUGGCACCUUCGGUGUCCGAGUUGUAAUCUCGAGAAGUAUUUUCCGCGUUGGACCGCACAUAAGUCUGUUGGAAUACAGCGUCAUAGUGGUGAGAACCCCGUAUAUGGUGCGGAUGCCCAAUGCUUUGUGAUAUACUUUCGAAGAGUCGAGUUGUUUGGGAAUGCAGCUCAAAUUGGGUGGUAAAUUCCAUCUAAAGUUAAAUAUUGGCGAGAGACCGAUAGCGCACAAGUACCGUGAGGGAAAGAUGAAAAGCACUUUGGAAAGAGAGUUAACAGUACGUGAAAUUGUUGGAAGGGAAACGCUUGAAGUCAGACCUGCAAUUUUGGAGUUCACCGGCAAGGGGAAUUCUUCGAUUGGCAGGCCAGCAUCAGUUUUCGGGGGUGGAAAAGCGCGGUUUGAAGGUAGCAGUCUCGGCUGUGUUAUAGCUUUCCGCUGGAUUCACUUUUGGGGACUGAGGAACGCAGUACGCUUUUUGCAAGACUUUCGAGUUUUUCGUACUUAGGAUGCUGUGG
rnacentral:rRNA from 1 species